UAGCCAUAUCAUGUUGAAACAUUGGUUCUCAUAUGAUCACCGAUGUUAAGCAGCAUUGUGCCUGGUCAGUAACCAAAUGGGUGACUGCUUGGGAAUACCAGGAGCUGUAAG